UUAACCACGCAACCAUUUAUAUAUGUAAUUGUUGAUUCCGACCUAUUUUGCUUAUAUGUUAUCUAUGUUAUCAGUUUGUUCGUGUGUCUUUUUCUUUAGAUUGUUUAACGACUCAUUGUGUAUUUGAUUAAAUCAUAGUCUAUAUGUAACUCAAAAUAUAAUAAAUAUUCAAAAAAUUUCUAUUCAACCAAUAUACGUGUACGGGUAGUUUUGUAAAUUAAAAAGUUUUGGGAGUGAAAUGAAUGAAUAAAU